GACGAACGCUGGCGGCGUGCCUAAUACAUGCAAGUUGAGCGCUGAAGGUUGGUACUUGUACCAACUGGAUGAGCAGCGAACGGGUGAGUAACGCGUGGGGAAUCUGCCUUUGAGCGGGGGACAACAUUUGGAAACGAAUGCUAAUACCGCAUAAAAACUUUAAACACAAGUUUUAAGUUUGAAAGAUGCAAUUGCAUCACUCAAAGAUGAUCCCGCGUUGUAUUAGCUAGUUGGUGAGGUAAAGGCUCACCAAGGCGAUGAUACAUAGCCGACCUGAGAGGGUGAUCGGCCACAUUGGGACUGAGACACGGCCCAAACUCCUACGGGAGGCAGCAGUAGGGAAUCUUCGGCAAUGGACGAAAGUCUGGCCGAGCAACGCCGCGUGAGUGAAGAAGGUUUUCGGAUCGUAAAACUCUGUUGGUAGAGAAGAACGUUGGUGAGAGUGGAAAGCUCAUCAAGUGACGGUAACUACACAGAAAGGGACGGCUAACUACGUG
rnacentral:rRNA from 1 species